rnacentral:rRNA from 1 species
UACGUAGGGUGCAAGCGUUGUCCGGAAUUAUUGGGCGUAAAGAGCUCGUAGGCGGCUUGUCGCGUCGUCCGUGAAAACCCACAGCUCAACUGUGGGCUUGCGGUCGAUACGGGCAGGCUAGAGUUCGGUAGGGGAGACUGGAAUUCCUGGUGUAGCGGUGAAAUGCGCAGAUAUCAGGAGGAACACCGGUGGCGAAGGCGGGUCUCUGGGCAGUAACUGACGCUGAGGAGCGAAAGCGUGGGGAGCGAACAGG